GUGGCGGGGAAACAGGACUUUUACUGUGAAAAAAUUAGAGUGCUCCAGGCAGGCCUAUGCUCGAAUACAUUAGCAUGGAAUAAUAGAAUAGGACGUGUGGUUCUAUUUUGUUGGUUUCUAGGACCGCCGUAAUGAUUAAUAGGGACAGUCGGGGGCAUCAGUAUUCAAUUGUCAGAGGUGAAAUUCUUGGAUUUAUUGAAGACUAACUACUGCGAAAGCAUUUGCCAAGGAUGUUUUCAUUAAUCAGGAACGAAAGUUAGGGGAUCGAAGACGAUCAGAUACCGUCGUAGUCUUAACCAUAAACUAUGCCGACUAGGGAUCGGACGGUGUUAUUUUUUGACC
rnacentral:rRNA from 1 species